rnacentral:rRNA from 1 species
GUUGAACGCUGGCGGCAGGCCUAACACAUGCAAGUCGAACGGAGUGGCGGACGGGUGGGUACUGCCUAGGGAUCUGCCUGGUAGUGGGGGGUAACGUAGGGAAAGGGGCGCUAAUACCGCAUACUAACAGAUGAGCCUAGGUCGGAGUAGAUAGUUGGUGGGGUAAAGGCCUACCAAGGCGACGAGUCGUAACUGGUCUGAGAGGAUGAUCAGGCAAACUGGGAACUAGAAAAGGUCCAGAAUCCCAAGGGAGGCAGGCGGGGGGAAAAUUUGCCAAUGGGCGAAAGCCUGAUCCAGCCAUGCCGGGUGUGGGAAGAAGGGCUUCGGAUUGUAAAGCCCUUUAAGUUGGGAGACGGUAACAACAGAAGAAGCACCGGCUAACUUACGGCCAGGCGCCGCGGUAAUAC